ACUCGCGCCUCGAUGUGUUGUGAUGUGAAAGUCGCAAGGUGACAUCACUGUAAACUGGCUGCCCGAUGGCUUGCUGUAAACUCGCACGGUAACAUUACUGUAAACUGGCUGCCAGCUGGCUGGCUGUAAAAUCACAAGGUGGUAUCAUUGUAAGCUGACGUCCAGCUAGCUCCAUAAAAGAAAGGCGGACACCGUGCCUGGCCAGUGCUUGGGUGACACUCGCGCCUCGAUGUGUUGUGAUGUGAAAGUCGCAAGGUGACGUCACUGUAAACUGGCUGCCCGAUGGCUUGCUGUAAACUCGCACGGUAGCAUCACUGUAAACUGGCUGCCAUCUGGCUGGCUGUAAAGUCACAAGUUAACAGGGUUAAGUGUCAAAAGGAUGGGUCAAAGACGACACUGGCCAGCUAUUAAAUAUGCUUACAUGUGCCGUUGUUGUAAUAAAUCGUCAACCAGCUAAUAUUGUUAAAUGUUAGCUUUCCAAAUGUAAGUCAGCCAUUGACAAUAAUGCGAGCCAUAGAUAAUGGUCUUCGGAGUGUCCCCUCAAGUACAAACCCCUUACAUUAGACUGCAGACAAAAACAGUGUCACAUGGCCGCCCACUACUGCAUAUAAACAGACAUAUAAACAAAUAUACGCAUGUAUAGUUCGGAACACCUUUGAAGGGUAUCAUCACAGUAAUACAAACAUAUAUGUACAUAUGUAUAUGUAUGCGUAGCUGAAAUACGCACAUUAAGAAAUCUGAAAGGGUCGGAACGGUACAUAAAACCAAAAGCAAACAAUUUAAGUAACGAUGAAACAAUUAUUUGUUAUUGCAUUAGCGACAAUUACCGAAUGUUAUUAGUUCACAAAAAUAAACCCCCUAUUAAAUAUUGCGGUACAAUGCAGAUAUCGGUAAAUAUAUGUUGCUUAUAGCCUUAAUUUACUCAACGUUUUCGGUUAGGACCAUUAUUGCGACUACGAAGCACCAUCACAAUUUCAGAAGAAGUAUUGUGAAAUGUAUCUGAUUUGACAAUCUCAGCGGGUAUACACAGAAGAGUUCGUUCCAAUUCCGUAAAACACAGCCACGGCCACUAAACGGCAACAUAAUUGAAUAAUGUUUAUCAAAGUAAACGCAGUAAUUUAACAUGAUCGAUCAGCUUGAACGACAGCUAUAUACUAAAAUUACCAAGAUUGAGGACUUGCCUAAAUGUAAACAAAGGUUCUUGCCUCGGCUAAAUCAAAAACAAAAAGGUCAUUGACCUCAGCAAAAUGUAAAAAAUAAAGUUUUACUACAUUUGAAUAUAUCUCCUCCGCUUUUAUCUUUUCAAGUUGUAAAAUGUGCGAACUUACUGGAACUUAGCCCCUUCUUAGAAGUUCAAUUGGUUUUUUUAAGAAAUCCAAAUCUUAAUGAAAGCCCAAGGCAGCAGACACUUAUGUAUAUACUGGAGCUCGGAAUAAGAAGAAGCACCAUCCACUAGCCAGUGCUGUUUGAUAGUGAUAAUUGAAGUACAUGCAACUCUCUAGGCCAUCUCUAAGCAGUCCACUUCGUGAACGCGCCACCUUAAGUUUGACAACGAAAAAUCUGCGUUUCCGGCCAUCCUGGUGACCCUGGACGGAUAGCCGACUUCUUUUUUUUAUGAUGGAAUGCGUGAGCUACACGAUGAACUCAAGCUCGUGGUGCUGAUUUUCUGCAACUCACAAAGCCGAUCCCAUGCGAUA